UUCCGGGAACGUUUUUUUAAGUUGUCUGCUAUAAAGCAGGCAGAACUAGCUAAGUGCUAAGCCAAGAUGUAGCUGUAUUUUUCCCGUUUGGUUUCUAUUAGAGAUUUAGAAACUGGAGGGUGCUCCUGCAGUUCAUCUUGUAACUAAUUGUGUUUUGACCCCAACUAUGCAGGAUGAGUUAGUGCUAUUUUAAGUCUCAUCUAUUUUUAAUUAAGACUUAUAAAUUCUGGUCUUAAUGAGAAGGAGAAAGCUGUGCUGAAGACAUUUAACCAAUUUUUUUUGAAGAAAGGUUAUGAAGUAUGCAUGCUGCCGUUUUGAGUUUUCUAAUCUUUAUGAUCUCAAAUUACUUGUCACCACUGUUCCUUCAUCAGCUGCAGAAAUUACUUCCACAUAAUUUAAUGUAUAAAAAUGUAAAUUUCUUAGAAACAAAUCAUUCUGACAGCUUCCAAAAGUCUCCUGUUACAAAGAUCUAGUUCAAGAAUGAUUUUAGAAUUGAAGUUGAAGCUAUUAAGCUACUACGUGAUUUACAGUAUUAUUAUUUGAUGCAUUUGGAGUAUUAUGUACACACUGAUGUUUGGUUUUGUUUUAGGAGAGAGGCUGCUAUGCACACUGGAUUGCUCUGGUUUAUUCAUAUCCUGUGACAGUGAAUCAGAUAUUGCUGUCUAUAUACAGACUGAAUUGCCAGACAACUUCGGGCCCAAAUAUGAAGUUCCAGCUCUGGCCUUGAACGUCACCUGCUGCAAACUGACCCCUUCUCGCUGCUCAGGCUCUCUUCACCGCCCCACGAAUGCCUUCCAGAAAGUGCUCUUGGCUGUCCAGCUGCACCUCAGUUUGCCAGUAGGAGUAGGGCGGUACUAGUGGCUCUACUUCCCCCUUACUUCUGUGUCUGGUGGGAUUGCUGUUCAGGCCAAUCUGUUAGGCAGUUCUGUCUUGUACAAGAUCUUGCCAGUAUGAUAGAUGCAUGCCAUCAUCCUGAAACAGGGUCUCAGUUAGGAUAUAGACAGGUUUUUCUGCUGUUUUCUGCCGUUGUACAGAGAAAAAAAAAAAAGCUGGGUGUUGCUUUAGUAAAUUACUAGAAAGAAUGGAAGUCUCGUAUUUCUGCAGUGAAUUAUGAUAUGUGAAAAAAAGGUUUCAUUGAUUUAACUUUUGAAUUAUUUGAAAAGGGUAAGGUUAGAAAAUGUGAUUAACUCCCCCUAAGGUCUGCACUAAUAGACUCUUCUGUUCUUAACUGUGUAAGGGCUGCAGUGGGGAUUAACUGCUACUCAAGUUUGAAUCUAGGUUGGGAGAAUUAAUAAGAAAACACUCAGCGGUGUUGAGUUCAGUGACAUGAUGAUACCAGUUUGUAGCUGCCUUUGAACAGCCUGUGCAGCUCUCCCUUCCUUUCGUUCUAUGUGUCAUUGACAACAUAUGCCUGGAGAAGUAUACCAGGACGCUGCAGGAAUUAAGAUCUUAAAAACUGUUCAUUGUUCCAUAACAUUUUUAAAC
rnacentral:lncRNA from 1 species